ACAUGCCUACAACAUAGCGUUAAUGCAUCGGAUCCCAUUAGAACUCCGCAGUUAAGCGCGCUCAUUCUAGAGUAGCACUGGAAUGGGUGACCACUCGAGAAAUCUUAGUGUUUUACAUGCA
rfam:Picea glauca, whole genome shotgun sequence.